AGAGUUUGAUCAUGGCUCAGAUUGAACGCUGGCGGCAGGCCUAACACAUGCAAGUCGAACGGUAACAGGAAGAAGCUUGCUUCUUUGCUGACGAGUGGCGGACGGGUGAGUAAUGUCUGGGAAACUGCCUGAUGGAGGGGGAUAACUACUGGAAACGGUAGCUAAUACCGCAUAACGUCGCAAGACCAAAGAGGGGGACCUUCGGGCCUCUUGCCAUCGGAUGUGCCCAGAUGGGAUUAGCUAGUAGGUGGGGUAACGGCUCACCUAGGCGACGAUCCCUAGCUGGUCUGAGAGGAUGACCAGCCACACUGGAACUGAGACACGGUCCAGACUCCUACGGGAGGCAGCAGUGGGGAAUAUUGCACAAUGGGCGCAAGCCUGAUGCAGCCAUGCCGCGUGUAUGAAGAAGGCCUUCGGGUUGUAAAGUACUUUCAGCGGGGAGGAAGGGAGUAAAGUUAAUACCUUUGCUCAUUGACGUUACCCGCAGAAGAAGCACCGGCUAACUCCGUGCCAGCAGCCGCGGUAAUACGGAGGGUGCAAGCGUUAAUCGGAAUUACUGGGCGUAAAGCGCACGCAGGCGGUUUGUUAAGUCAGAUGUGAAAUCCCCGGGCUCAACCUGGGAACUGCAUCUGAUACUGGCAAGCUUGAGUCUCGUAGAGGGGGGUAGAAUUCCAGGUGUAGCGGUGAAAUGCGUAGAGAUCUGGAGGAAUACCGGUGGCGAAGGCGGCCCCCUGGACGAAGACUGACGCUCAGGUGCGAAAGCGUGGGGAGCAAACAGGAUUAGAUGCCCUGGUAGUCCACGCCGUAAACGAUGUCGACUUGGAGGUUGUGCCCUUGAGGCGUGGCUUCCGGAGCUAACGCGUUAAGUCGACCGCCUGGGGAGUACGGCCGCAAGGUUAAAACUCAAAUGAAUUGACGGGGGCCCGCACAAGCGGUGGAGCAUGUGGUUUAAUUCGAUGCAACGCGAAGAACCUUACCUGGUCUUGACAUCCACAGAACUUUCCAGAGAUGGAUUGGUGCCUUCGGGAACUGUGAGACAGGUGCUGCAUGGCUGUCGUCAGCUCGUGUUGUGAAAUGUUGGGUUAAGUCCCGCAACGAGCGCAACCCUUAUCCUUUGUUGCCAGCGGUCCGGCCGGGAACUCAAAGGAGACUGCCAGUGAUAAACUGGAGGAAGGUGGGGAUGACGUCAAGUCAUCAUGGCCCUUACGACCAGGGCUACACACGUGCUACAAUGGCGCAUACAAAGAGAAGCGACCUCGCGAGAGCAAGCGGACCUCAUAAAGUGCGUCGUAGUCCGGAUUGGAGUCUGCAACUCGACUCCAUGAAGUCGGAAUCGCUAGUAAUCGUGGAUCAGAAUGCCACGGUGAAUACGUUCCCGGGCCUUGUACACACCGCCCGUCACACCAUGGGAGUGAGUUGCAAAAGAAGUAGGUAGCUUAACCUUCGGGAGGGCGCUUACCACUUUGUGAUUCAUGACUGGGGUGAAGUCGUAACAAGGUAACCGUAGGGGAACCUGCGGUUGGAUCACCU
rnacentral:rRNA from 1 species